rnacentral:rRNA from 1 species
CCUACUCCUACGGGAGGCAGCAGUAGGGAAUCUUCCGCAAUGGACGAAAGUCUGACGGAGCAACGCCGCGUGAGUGAAGAAGGUUUUCGGAUCGUAAAACUCUGUUGUUAGGGAAGAACAAGUGCCGUUCGAAUAGGGCGGCACCUUGACGGUACCUAACCAGAAAGCCACGGCUAACUACGUGCCAGCAGCCGCGGUAAUCACGG